UUGGAUGUUUAGACUGCUUA
rnacentral:siRNA from 1 species